GGGAGCCGGAUGAGUCGAGAGGUUCACGUCCGGUUCUGCGAGGGGCUACUGGGGAGGUUCCAGUGGACGACUUUCC
rnacentral:ncRNA from 1 species